rnacentral:rRNA from 1 species
UACGGGGGGGGCAAGCGUUGUUCGGAAUUACUGGGCGUAAAGGCGCGUAGGCGGCCUGCUAAGUCACACGUGAAAUCCCUCGGCUCAACCGGGGAACUGCGUGUGAUACUGGCGGGCUUGAAUUCGGGAGAGGGAUGUGGAAUUCCAGGUGUAGCGGUGAAAUGCGCAGAUAUCAGGAAGAACACCAAUGGCGAAAGCAGCUCUCUGGGACGGUACUGACGCUGAGACGCGAAAGCGUGGGGAGCGAACAGG